rnacentral:rRNA from 1 species
GACGUAGGGGGCGAGCGUUGUCCGGAUUUAUUGGGCGUAAAGAGCUCGUAGGCGGCUCAGCAAGUCAGGUGUGAAACCUCCAGGCUUAACCUGGAGACGCCACCUGAUACUGCUGUGGCUGGAGUCCGGUAGGGGAGCAGGGAAUAUCCGGUGUAGCGGUGAAAUGCUUAGAUAUCGGGUGGAACACCAGUGGCGAAGGCGCUGCUCUGGGCCGGUACUGACGCUGAGGAGCGAAAGCGUGGGUAGCAAACAGGAUUAGAUACCCUGGUAGUCCACGCCGUAAACGUUGGGCACUAGGUGUGGGACCCUAUCGACGGGAUCCGUGCCGUAGCUAACGCAUUAAGUGCCCCGCCUGGGGAGUACGGCCGCAAGGCUAAA